AGCUCAGUGGUCGAGCGCUGGCUUUGGAAGCCACAGGUCGGUGGUCAAAUCCACC
rnacentral:tRNA from 1 species